UUAAGUUCAGCGGGUAGCCCUACCUGAUUUGAGGUCAAUGUCAAAAGAUGUGGGUGGUUGUGAGCAGGCCUCAGCACCGGCCGAGACGAAACUUAUCACGUCAGGCAUAGGUCAAAGAGAUCCCACUGAGUCAUUUGAGGCAAGCCUUGUGAGGCAGACGCCCAGUUCCAAGUCCACCAAAGGUCAGAAAACCCUCGGGG
rnacentral:misc_RNA from 1 species